CCUAUUAUUUAAGAGCUUAACAUUGUAAGUAAAUAAUAAUUAUGAAAGCAAAAAAUUAUGGCGGUAUUUUAAGCUUUUCAGAGGAAUUUGCUCUUUAAUGGAUAAAACACCAAAAUCUUACUUAGAUUUGUGAUUUCAAUUUGUAUACCACUAUUAAAACAAUUUAUAACUUUAAUUGUUUAAAUUUACAAAAUUAAAAUAUAUUAAGUCAAGGUGCAGUAAAAAUUUAAGGAUGAAGUGAAUUACAUUACUUUUUAGUGAGAUAAAUUUAUAACAAUAUUUAGGAUUUGAAAGUAAAAUUAAAAUAGGAUGUUAAUU
rnacentral:rRNA from 1 species